rnacentral:rRNA from 1 species
AACCCUUGUCCUUAGUUACCAGCACGUUAUGGUGGGCGACUCUAAGGAGACUGCCGGUGGACAAACCGGAGGAAGGUGGGGAGUGACGUCAAGUCAUCAUGGCCCUUACGGCCUGGGCUACACACGUGCUACAAUGGUCGGUACAAAGGGUUGCCAAGCCGCGAGGUGGAGCUAAUCCCAUAAAACCGAAUCGUAGUCCGGAUCGCAGUCUGCAACUCGACUGCGUGAAGUCGGAAUCGCUAGUAAUCGUGAAUCAGAAUGUCACGGUGAAUACGUUCCCGGGCCUU